rnacentral:rRNA from 1 species
GGGGAAUAUUUGACAAUGUGCGCAAGCCUGAUCUAGCUAUGCCGCGUGGGUGAAGAAGGCCUUUGGGUUGUAAAGCCCUUUUGUUGGGAAAGAAAAGCAGCCGUCAAUUACUCGGUUAUUCUGGCAGUACACAAAGAAUAAGCACCGGCUAACUUCGCGCCAGCAGCCGCGGUAAUACGAAGGGUGCAAGCGUUACUCGGAAUUACUGGGCGUAAAGCGUGCGUAGGUGGUGGUUUAAGUCCGUUGUGAAAGCCCUGGGCUCAACCUGGGAACUGCAGUGGAUACUGGAUCACUAGAGUGUGGCAGAGGGUAGUGGAAUUCCCGGUGUAGCAGUGAAAUGCGUAGAGAUCGGGAGGAACAUCAGUGGCGAAGGCGACUGCCUGGGCCAACACUGACACUGAGGCACGAAAGCGUGGGGAGCAAACA